AUUGAACGCUGGCGGCAGGCCUAACACAUGCAAGUCGAACGAGUGGCGGACGGGUGAGUAAUGUCUGGGAAACUGCCUGAUGGAGGGGGAUAACUACUGGAAACGGUAGCUAAUACCGCAUACCAUCGGAUGAGCCCAGAUGGGAUUAGCUAGUAGGUAGGGUAACGGCUUACCUAGGCGACGAUCCCUAGCUGGCCUGAGAGGAUGACCAGCCACACUGGAACUGAGACACGGUCCAGACUCCUACGGGAGGCAGCAGUGGGGAAUAUUGCACAAUGGGCGCAAGCCUGAUGCAGCCAUGCCGCGUGUAUGAAGAAGGCCUUCGGGUUGUAAAGUACUUUCAGCGGGGAGGCGGUACCCACAGAAGAAGCACCGGCUAACUCCGUGCCAGCAGCCGCGGUAAUAC
rnacentral:rRNA from 1 species